rnacentral:rRNA from 1 species
UACGUAGGGUGCAAGCGUUAAUCGGAAUUACUGGGCGUAAAGCGUGCGCAGGCGGUUCGUUGUGUCUGUGGUGAAAGCCCCGGGCUUAACCUGGGAAUGGCCAUGGAAACUGGCGAGCUGGAGUGUGGCAGAGGGGGGUGGAAUUCCUGGUGUAGCGGUGAAAUGCGCAGAUAUCAGGAGGAACACCGAUGGCGAAGGCAGGUCUCUGGGCAUUAACUGACGCUGAGGAGCGAAAGCAUGGGGAGCGAACAGG